rnacentral:rRNA from 1 species
ACCCGUUAACCUUAACCUAUUCAAUAACCGAAGGA